GGACCCGUGGCGCAGUGGUAGCGCGUGAGAUUCCAGUUCUGUUCAGUUGCGGCUUAUGCAAGAGCGUGGUUCCUCAAGGUCAUCCGUUCAAAUCGGGUCGGGUUCA
rfam:Phlebia centrifuga strain FBCC195 PHLCENscaffold_2484, whole genome shotgun sequence.